rnacentral:rRNA from 1 species
CCUACGGGAGGCAGCAGUGGGGAAUAUUGGGCAAUGGGCGCAAGCCUGACCCAGCAACGCCGCGUGAAGGAAGAAGGCUUUCGGGUUGUAAACUUCUUUUCUCAGGGACGAAGCAAGUGACGGUACCCGAGGAAUAAGCCAAGGCUAACUACGUGCCAGCAGCCGCGGUAAUCCGUAGGUGGCAAGCGUUAUCCGGAUUUACUGGGUGUAAAGGGCGUGUAGGCGGGGACGCAAGUCAGAUGUGAAAACCACGGGCUCAACCUGUGGCCUGCAUUUGAAACUGUGUUUCUUGAGUACUGGAGAGGCAGACGGAAUUCCUAGUGUAGCGGUGAAAUGCGUAGAUAUUAGGAGGAACACCAGUGGCGAAGGCGGUCUGCUGGACAGCAACUGACGCUGAGGCGCGAAAGCGUGGGGAGCAAACAGGAUUAGAUACCCCAGUAGUC